UACAGAGGUGGCAAGCGUUGUUCGGAAUUACUGGGCGUAAAGGGCGCGUAGGCGGCCUCUUUAGUCAGACGUGAAAUCCCCCGGCUUAACCUGGGAACUGCGUCUGAUACUGGGGGGCUUGAGUUCGGGAGAGGGAUGUAGAAUUCCAGGUGUAGCGGUGAAAUGCGUAGAUAUCUGGAGGAAUACCGGUGGCGAAGGCGGCAUCCUGGACCGAAACUGACGCUGAGGCGCGAAAGCUAGGGGAGCAAACGGG
rnacentral:rRNA from 1 species